UUAUUUAAAUUUCAAUUACCUUUAUCAACGUUGUUUGUUGCUUGAUAUCUAGCAUGAAGUAGGAGAAAGACAACGAUCAAAAAUUGGUCUCGGAAUAAAUUCAUGAUGACGUGACAAUAUCCUCUCUUAUUUUAUUACCUUAACACCUUUGUAUUCAUAAUAGAGAUAUCUCGAACUCACGAGUUCAUUUUUACAAAUUUACAGAACUUGGUAUCAUACGACUCUUUUAAUAUGACGCUUUGCACGAAAUAUUUCACAUCUUUUUAAACCCCUUAUAUUGCUAAGCAAUU
rnacentral:misc_RNA from 1 species